AUGGAUAGAUUGCAAAGAAGGCUGCUUCCUCACCCCUCGGCAUGCCCCUUCUGCGAUCAAGCUCAGGAAAUAAUAGACCACUUGCUGCUUGGCUGUGUGCUAGCUCGGCAAGUGUGGACCAGCAUCACCAACGCUUGGGGCAGGCCUUCCUGAAUGCCAGCGGUGGAUGCGACCUUGGUGGUAUGGUGGACUUCCCUCAGCCCGCAGAAACAAUUAAGGAAGGAGACCUGGACGGUGGUGACACUCGUGGCUUGGACGGUAUGGAAGCACAGGAACGACAUCGUGUUCAAUGGUGCCUCGCGCAUUGGUGGACACCGUGCUUAG
rnacentral:rRNA from 1 species